CCUACGGUGUGCUGCAGUGGGGAAUAUUGGGCAAUGGAGGCAACUCUGACCCAGCAACGCCGCGUGAAUGAUGAAGGUCUUCGGAUUGUAAAGUUCUGUGAUGGGGGAUGAACACAAUGACGGUACCCCAAUAGCAACCCACGGCUAACUACGUGCCAGCCGCCGCGAUAAUACGUAGGGGGCAAUCGUUAUCCGGAAUGACUGGGCGUAAAGGGUGCGUAGGUGGUUUAGUAAGUUGGCGGGGAAAUGCCGGGGCUGAACCUCGGCGCUACAGCCAAAACUAUUAGUCUAGAGUGCAGGAGGGGUAAGUGGAAUUCCUAGUGUAGCGGUGGAAUGCGUAGAUAUUAGGAGGAACAUCAGGGGCGAAGGCGACUUACUGGACUGUAACUGACACUGAGGCACGAAAGCGUGGGGAGCAAACAGGAGUAGAUACCCUUGUAGUC
rnacentral:rRNA from 1 species